UACGAAGGGGGCUAGCGUUGCUCGGAAUCACUGGGCGUAAAGGGUGCGUAGGCGGGUCUUUAAGUCAGGGGUGAAAUCCUGGAGCUCAACUCCAGAACUGCCUUUGAUACUGAGGAUCUUGAGUUCGGGAGAGGUGAGUGGAACUGCGAGUGUAGAGGUGAAAUUUGUAGAUAUUCGCAAGAACACCGGUGGCGAAGGCGGCUCACUGGCUCAUUACUGACGCUCAGGCGCGAUAGCGUGGGGAUCAAACAGG
rnacentral:rRNA from 1 species